GUUAAGCGACUAAGCGUACACGGUGGAUGCCCUGGCAGUCAGAGGCGAUGAAGGACGUGCUAAUCUGCGAUAAGCGUCGGUAAGGUGAUAUGAACCGUUAUAACCGGCGAUUUCCGAAUGGGGAAACCCAGUGUGAUUCGUCACACUAUCAUUAACUGAAUCCAUAGGUUAAUGAGGCGAACCGGGGGAACUGAAACAUCUAAGUACCCCGAGGAAAAGAAAUCAACCGAGAUUCCCCCAGUAGCGGCGAGCGAACGGGGAGCAGCCCAGAGCCUGAAUCAGUGUGUGUGUUAGUGGAAGCGUCUGGAAAGGCGCGCGAUACAGGGUGACAGCCCCGUACACAAAAAUGCACAUGCUGUGAGCUCGAUGAGUAGGGCGGGACACGUGGUAUCCUGUCUGAAUAUGGGGGGACCAUCCUCCAAGGCUAAAUACUCCUGACUGACCGAUAGUGAACCAGUACCGUGAGGGAAAGGCGAAAAGAACCCCGGCGAGGGGAGUGAAAAAGAACCUGAAACCGUGUACGUACAAGCAGUGGGAGCACGCUUAGGCGUGUGACUGCGUACCUUUUGUAUAAUGGGUCAGCGACUUAUAUUCUGUAGCAAGGUUAACCGAAUAGGGGAGCCGAAGGGAAACCGAGUCUUAACUGGGCGUUAAGUUGCAGGGUAUAGACCCGAAACCCGGUGAUCUAGCCAUGGGCAGGUUGAAGGUUGGGUAACACUAACUGGAGGACCGAACCGACUAAUGUUGAAAAAUUAGCGGAUGACUUGUGGCUGGGGGUGAAAGGCCAAUCAAACCGGGAGAUAGCUGGUUCUCCCCGAAAGCUAUUUAGGUAGCGCCUCGUGAAUUCAUCUCCGGGGGUAGAGCACUGUUUCGGCAAGGGGGUCAUCCCGACUUACCAACCCGAUGCAAACUGCGAAUACCGGAGAAUGUUAUCACGGGAGACACACGGCGGGUGCUAACGUCCGUCGUGAAGAGGGAAACAACCCAGACCGCCAGCUAAGGUCCCAAAGUCAUGGUUAAGUGGGAAACGAUGUGGGAAGGCCCAGACAGCCAGGAUGUUGGCUUAGAAGCAGCCAUCAUUUAAAGAAAGCGUAAUAGCUCACUGGUCGAGUCGGCCUGCGCGGAAGAUGUAACGGGGCUAAACCAUGCACCGAAGCUGCGGCAGCGACGCUUAUGCGUUGUUGGGUAGGGGAGCGUUCUGUAAGCCUGCGAAGGUGUGCUGUGAGGCAUGCUGGAGGUAUCAGAAGUGCGAAUGCUGACAUAAGUAACGAUAAAGCGGGUGAAAAGCCCGCUCGCCGGAAGACCAAGGGUUCCUGUCCAACGUUAAUCGGGGCAGGGUGAGUCGACCCCUAAGGCGAGGCCGAAAGGCGUAGUCGAUGGGAAACAGGUUAAUAUUCCUGUACUUGGUGUUACUGCGAAGGGGGGACGGAGAAGGCUAUGUUGGCCGGGCGACGGUUGUCCCGGUUUAAGCGUGUAGGCUGGUUUUCCAGGCAAAUCCGGAAAAUCAAGGCUGAGGCGUGAUGACGAGGCACUACGGUGCUGAAGCAACAAAUGCCCUGCUUCCAGGAAAAGCCUCUAAGCAUCAGGUAACAUCAAAUCGUACCCCAAACCGACACAGGUGGUCAGGUAGAGAAUACCAAGGCGCUUGAGAGAACUCGGGUGAAGGAACUAGGCAAAAUGGUGCCGUAACUUCGGGAGAAGGCACGCUGAUA
rnacentral:rRNA from 1 species